GCUUUAUUAGUAUACGAGUAUGUUCGAUUUCCAAUUGAGAGGGUCUUGUUAAUAGUCAAGAAUAAAGUA
rnacentral:tRNA from 1 species